rnacentral:misc_RNA from 1 species
AACUAUAAAAUGUGCACAUAUUGAAUUACAUUGUUAUAUAAUUAUGAAAGAAAAUACAUUAAAAAUUUAAUAAUCCCAUACAUUUUACAUGUGAUAUUGAAUGCUGAAGGAAAAAUAAACUUCCCAUGAAACUUCAAAACAACAUAGCACUACCACAGUCUCACCCUCAAUUUCCCAAAUUACAACCAAUUUAAAAUAGUAUCACAAUUUACAAACCCAUAGUAAUUGCUAGCUGAAUUGUCAUAGCAUAAUUUGUUGUUUGGAAAAUUUAUUAAAAUGACAUUACCA